GACGAACGCUGGCGGCGUGCCUAAUACAUGCAAGUCGAGCGCAGGAAAUCAUCCGAACCCUUCGGGGGGACGUUGAUGGAAUGAGCGGCGGACGGGUGAGUAACACGUAAAGAACCUGCCCUCAGGGCUGGGAUAACCACGAGAAAUCGGGGCUAAUACCGGAUGGGUCAUCGGACCGCAUGGCCCGAGGAUGAAAGUCGCUUCGGCGUCGCCUGGGGAUGGCUUUGCGGUGCAGUAGCUAGUUGGUGGGGUAAUGGCCCACCAAGGCGACGAUGCAUAGCCGACCUGAGAGGGUGAUCGGCCACACUGGGACUGAGACACGGCCCAGACUCCUACGGGAGGCAGCAGUAGGGAAUCUUCCACAAUGGACGAAAGUCUGAUGGAGCAACACCGCGUGAACGAUGAAGGCCUUCGGGUCGUAAAGUUCUGUUGUAAGGGAAGAACAAGUGCCGCAGGCAAUGGCGGCACCUUGACGGUACCUUGCGAGAAAGCCACGGCUAACUACGUGCCAGCAGCCGCAGUAA
rnacentral:rRNA from 1 species